GACCAGGAGAUUCCCAGGCAGAGGAGCACCACGGGUCUCCAGCAUGGCUGUUUUGGCCAGCGCAGUGGCUCUCCACUCAAAAAACUCACACAGGUCUAGGCACUGUUUCAGCUGGUGACUGGAGUGCCUGGGAGACGAAGUUGCCCAUUCAACUGAUAAAAAGGGGACUGAAACAGGGGGCCAGGCCAGGAGAUGCCCAGG